UAAUACGUAGGGAACAAGCGUUGUCCGGAUUUACUGGGCGUAAAGGGCACGCAGGCGGUUUUUUAAGUCAGAUGUGAAAGGUACCGGCUCAACCGGUGACAUGCAUUUGAAACUGAAAGACUUGAGUAUUGGAGAGGCAAGUGGAAUUCCUAGUGUAGCGGUGAAAUGCGUAGAGAUUAGGAGGAACACCAGUGGCGAAGGCGGCUUGCUGGACAAAUACUGACGCUGAGGUGCGAAAGCGUGGGGAGCAAACAGG
rnacentral:rRNA from 1 species